rnacentral:lncRNA from 1 species
UGGCGUGAGCAUGCUGCACCGUCCCAGCAAAGUGUGCAAACUCUUUAAAUAAAAAUGAAACGUGCUCCCAAAUAAUUCCAGNGCUUUCUCUUAAAUCCAAAAUGAAUCAAAACCUUGAUUCUAGAAUUGAAUCCAGCGUUCAGAAAUUGAGAAAAGAAAAUGUGAUUUUUCUUUCAUUCCUCCCCUUAUAAGCGUCAAUACCCGGCUUUCUAAAAACAUUCCCAGCCAAAAAAAAUUGAAAGUGCAGAGUGUGUCNUGGCUCUGUGAAUCAAGCUUCAUUCAUGUGCACCAGCAAAAGAAAUUGGCCGUGACUUCCCUCAUCCAAAAUCAANAAAUAGCAUCAACAUUCUUCAAAGAUAACGUUGCAGNAGCCUAAUGCUCUCCUCCAAAUUUUUCNAGCCGUGAGUUCCUUNCAAAAAAANGUUUUAGCCCCCCUUUUAAUAAUAUGNUGCAGCCAAAUUCUAUGCAAAACAAAAGUGACGGCUGUUGGGGUUCUAAUCCCUAGGGCCAAGUGUCCUAAAAUGAGGUGGGGUCCACCCGAAAAGUAACCCCUAGGUGGUGCCAUGUGUCCUACAAAAUUGGGCCCAACAACAUUUUUCCAAAAUUNGCCCAAGAUGCAAAGAGUUUGUCUAGAAAAUUUAAGUAAUUAAAACUACAAUAUAAUAAAUUUUAAAAAUGUCAAAUUUGAGAGUCUUGAAUUAUUUUGUCUCCU